rnacentral:lncRNA from 1 species
UUGAGGUAAGACAGUGAAGUCUUUAACUGCUCCAGAAGAAGAGGGUCUGGAAAGAAAAUGUCUCUGGCAAAAAAGUAUCAGGCAUAUGAUAUUGCAGAGAUUCAAAAUCAGAAGUAAAUCAGCUGGACAGUUGCCUCUUGCCUUCCUAAAUAGGCAAACAUAUUAGAAACAGAAAAAGGGGCCUACCUACCUCAUUCCUGGAGAAGGUGGGCUUGCUGGUGUGGAUGCCUGCCUCGUUUGCU